GGGGGGGGGCCCAAGUCCCUUCCCGCCCCCCCCUCCCAGCACCACCACCCCCCCCAGCCCUUCUCCCAAAGUGACCUUGACCAAACGGUCCCUCUCCUCUUCGGCGGCGAUGGGAGGAGGAGGAGGAGGAGGAGGAGGAGGAAGAGGAGCCCCCAACGAGGUCUUGAAGGAACUGGAAGAACUGGGGCGUCUUCGAGCCGAAGCCAAGAGGGAUCGGGAACGGGAUCGGGAACGGGUUCGGGAACGGGGGGGUUGGCCGAGCUCCCGGCAACUUCGGCAACAGCAGAGCCUGGAACAUCGCCUCUUGGAACGGCGUUACCAAGAGUUGGCCGAAAGCCGACGGCAAGCGGUGGCCGCCCGUAAAGCGGCGGCCGAAGAAGAACGGUUGGCCGAUCUGGCUUCCGAUCUUCUCCUCCGGUAUCUCCUGCGCGGGCCCGGGGCGGCCGUGGCCGAGGAUAAACGAUCGGAAGAAGAGGAGGAAGAGGAGGAGGAGGAGGAGGAGGAAGGAGGAGAAGAAGAAGAAGGUGACGGGAUCCCGGCGGACGUGGAAGAUGGGUUGGAGGUCACCGGAGGGUUGGAUGGAGACGGGAUGGAGGGCGACGAGGGGUUCGGAGGAGACGAAGGUUUGGAGGACACCAGGGGGUUGAAGGUCAACGGGGGCUUGAAGGUCAAUGAUGGCUUCAAAGUCAACAACGGCUUCAAGGUCAACGAUGCCUUCAAGGUCAACGAUGGCUUCAAGGUCAACAGGGGCUUCAAAGUCAACGAUGGCUUUGGAGGCAACGGAGGUUUAGAGGACACCAGGAGUUUGAAGGUCAACGGGGGCUUCAAGGUCGACGAUGGCUUUGGAGGCAACCGGGGCUUGAAGGUCAACAAGGGCUUCAAGGUCAAUGGGGGGUUUGAAGACAAUGGGGGCUUCAAGGUCAACAGGGGCUUCAAGGUCAACGAUGGCUUUGAAGACAACGAGGGUUUUGAAGGCAACGGGGGCUUGGAAGACAACGAGAUCCUUCCAAGGGGCAACGAGAUCUUUCCUCGGGGCAACGAGGUUCUACCACGGGGCAACGAGAUCCUUCCACGAGGCAACGAGAUCCUUCCACGAGGCAACGAGGUUCUACCAAGAGGCAACGAGAUGUUUCCAAGGGGCAACGAGAUCCUUCCAAGGGGCAACCAAAUGUCAGGGGGUGACAACGAGAUUCCGGAAGGUUCCGAGGAGGUUCCUCCCCAGGAUCCGGCCGAGGUGGACGACUUGGAUCCCAGUACCAUCGACCAGUUAAUCGAGCUUUCCAGUAAGCUCCACUUGCCGGCCGACGACGUGGUGGACAUCAUCCACGACGUGGAGCAGAAAAGAAAGAUGGAGGCCACCGUGGGGGCCCCCCCCCGCCUCAUCCGACCCCCCCAGCCCCAAACUCCCCCCAAACCAUUCCCAGUUUCCCAGAGGUUUUCGGGUCGGACUUUCCUGCCCCUCCCCCGCCGCCCCCCUCCCCCGUUAAGGGAUCGGGAGCUGCAGAGGUAUCUGGAGAGGGUUUUGGGGGGGCCCCCCCGGGGGUACCCGUGACCCCCCCCCCCCCAGUGUGUGUCCUCCCCACCCCAUCCCGCCUGCUCGGAUGUUCCCCUCCCCAUCCUGGGGCCACCAGUUUGGUCCUCCCAGUUCUCCCAGUUCCUAUUGUAGAGUCCCCUCCAGUCUCCCAGUUCCCCCAGUCCCAGCCCCAGAGCGCCCCCAGUUCCCUCCCAGUUCUCCCAGUUCCCUCCCAGUUCUCCCAGUUCCUCCAGUUCCCUCCCAGUUUC
rnacentral:lncRNA from 1 species